GUGUUCUCCCUGUUUUCCGUCACCACGGCAACACUUCCGGUGUCACCUAGUUCGCAACAAGUAAAAAUAAAAACAUCCCGAAGAUUUCCCUUCGAAAUACUGACUAAUGAGUGAAACCGUGACUCAGACGGUCUUGAGGAAGCCCGUGAAGAAAUGUACGAGACGAGAACGAGUCUACGAUUAUUUAUACGAUCCAGUGUACACGCUGUCGUCAGAGGUGGACCAUGUCCGGUCCGGACUAAAGGCCUGCAGGUCCGCAGACAGGCUGCGGAGAGUGCCGGUGUUCGGUUCUAUGUUCAGUAACCUGGUCCACCAUCCACGCUACACCCUUCGCCUGGACCCUGUGGACCCAGUGCCGCCAUCUGUUGACCGCUUUUGGCCAGGCCACACAGAGCAGCGGCGUCAGGCCCUGCAGCAUCUGACCGGGGUCAGUCCAGGUGGUGACACGUGCCAUGUGACCGGAGUGGAUCGAUGGAAAUACUUCAAGCGACCUCUGAUCCCGGUCACAGAACCAGUUCUUCCCAAUGUGGUUUAUUCUCUGCCACAAAAAGACUUUGUCUCAACAGAUGACAAAGAUGUCAGACAGCCCCCCUCUUGCUCCACUGUUGCGGUGCAAACAGACUACAGGGAGAGUGAGGCACAGACUGACCCCUACAGUCCAGGAUAUCUGAUCCAGCCUGGGGGGUCUACACCAGAGCUGCUGCACCUGCAGCCUCUGUCCUGGGGUCGGGGGCUCCCAGCCGGGCUGGUGGAGGUUGAGAUGAUUGAGCGUGCUCGUGCCAGACGGGCCUGGGAGUCCAGUUUACCCCCACUGGACGACCUGAGUCAGCUGGACAAGAGGCGACGCACGAUGGAGGAAAUGGAGGCUAAAGAGUGGGCCUUUAGAGAAGGUGAAAUCCAGAGGCUCCAGGAGAUCCGCCUGGCUGUCCUGCAGGACCUGCUGAUGCAGAGAGACCAGGCCCAGAACCAGAUGACACAGGACAGACUGAACCAUCUGCAUUCUCAGCAUCUGAAGGACCGGGAGACCAAGACGGAGAAGAUCCGCGAGACCCACGUCAGGUCACUGAGAAAACUGGAGGCUCAGAGAAGAGACGUUGAGGGAAAGUUCCAGCGUGCAGGCUGCAGAGACUUCAGUCAGAACCAGAGGAGCCUUCGUCCUGAUGUCUUCAGGAGCCCCUAUCUGGACACAUACGAAGGUUUGUCAGACCUGGAGGUCAGACACUCGAGACGGGUGGAGAAACCCAAACGUCCAAUCAGCACCAAGGAGGUGACCCAGGAGCCAGUGAACGCGGCGGAAGAACUGCUGAACAAAUACAUGGUUCUGAGGGAGGAAGAGAGCCAACAAGUGAUGACAUCAUCAUCAUCAUCAUCGUCACGUUUUCUCCUGAAGAAGGAGAAGCCUGCUCCUCGCCCGGCUACACCCAGAGUGGAGGAGCCUCCAAAGGAAGAGGAGGAGAUGGAGUUGGCCGUCAUCAACCUCCAGAAGCUACUGAGAGGGAGACGGGUGCAGUGUGAGAUGUUCAUGGGUAAAGAGAACCACCAGGACCUCCUCCGGGAGCUGAGGUCCACCCAUGCUCUGCAGAAGGAGGAGCGGGAGCUGCAGAGAGCUGACAGAGAGUUCGUCCUCAGUCUGAAACAGAGCAGAGACCGGCAGCUGCAGGAGGCCUCUCAGGAGGAGGCGUCCCGGGCCGAAGCGGUGGGUGCCGAGCUGGAAUGUCUCUUUGACACUUUGUCCAAGGAGCUGAUUCGUCUCCAGGAGGAGAGAAGGAUCCAUGCCUUUUCAAUGCUCGCCGAAAGAGACCGCCGCCUUCGAGAGGCGGAGGAGAGCGGGAGGAGGCGGGUGGAGGAGCGCAGACGCAGAGAGGAGGAUGAGAUCUUCAGACAGGUGGUGCAGGUCCACCAGGACACCGUGGACUUGUUUCUAGAAGACACGAUCCUGGCCGCCACGGAGCAGACGGCGGACCAACAGGCCAGAGACCAGAUCCACAGGAAGGCCAGAGAGGUCAACGACAUCGCCUACGCCAUGGAGCAAAGCAGGAACAGUCGUCAGUCUGAAGAGAUCGUGUCAGAGCUGGUCUACAGCUUCCUCAUCCCAGAGGUGGAGAAGAUCCGUAUCAGAGGAACAGUUCACCUCAGGCAGCAGAGACACCUGCUGGCAGCUCGCAGCAUCGUUCUUGGGACUGCAGAGGAUUCAGCAACUCCCGGGUCUCCCCAGUCCAACUGUCCACCCCAGAAUGACUCCGGUCCAGUUGUGGAAGACAGUCCUGAGGAAAAGGAUCGGCAGCAGGAACCUGAAUCGGAGUGACUGAGGGACCAUCUAGAACCUGGAUGGAGAUAUGAUAAAGAUGAAAAAGACCUUUGACCUUUAGUUCAAAGGGAAUUCCGUAACUGAACUGUGUGCGAUUUCAUACCGUGUUCUGUGACAACAACCAUGAAAACAUUGUCUUCCGUGUGGAGCAAAGACGGGGAAACAACAACAGAACGAGAACGGACGUCAGGUAUAAAUAGAACGCAACUGUUUUAACGCAGCGGUAGGAAAACAUGG